rnacentral:rRNA from 13 species
GGUUGCGGCCAUAUCUACCAGAAAGCACCGUUUCCCGUCCGAUCAACUGUAGUUAAGCUGGUAAGAGCCUGACCGAGUAGUGUAGUGGGUACUGAACAUGUCUGGACCCUGCCCUCA